GAUUUUAUUAUUAAUAUAUGGAUUUGUUAUGGUCUCGAAAUGGAACAGAAGAACACCGGAAGAAAGAACAAACACCAAUUUUCUUUGGCUCUUUAAAUACAUAUACCUGAACUUACAAGAAUGAAUAAACUCAACCAGAGAUUUCAAUAGACUUGACGUCAGGUUUCUUGACUUCCCUCUUAGGAACUGUCACCGUCAGAACCCCAUUCUCGAUUGAAGCCUUCACCUGAUCCAUCUUUACAUUUUCCGGUAGCCUCAACCUCCUCAAGAACUUACCCUUGCUACGCUCCACCCAGUGCCACGUAUCAUUCUUAUCUUCCUUCUCCACAUUCCUCUCUCCGCUGAUUUGAAGCACUCUGUCAUCUUCAAUCUCCACCUUCACUUCCUCCUUUUUAAGUCCAGGAAGAUCAGCCUCCAAGACAUGAGAGUCGGGAGUCUCUUUCCAGUCUAUGCGAGUGUUAACAAAAGCAGAGUUAUCACCACAGAUUAUUGAAGAGGAAGAGGGAAAUUGGAAGUUUUUGAAUGGAUCCCACAGGUCGAAAGAAGAGAAGGGGUCAAAAACGCUAUUUCGCGAGUUAGUAAAAAAGCUUGGAAUCAUCGCCAUUUUCUUUCCGUAGAAAGUAUAAAGGAAUAGAAAUUGAUGGGUUUGGUUAAAUACUGAGAAAGUAGCUGUGAAUUGCAGAUUGU
rnacentral:misc_RNA from 1 species